UUCAUUUACCUGAAGCACUAUAGCAAACAAUGCCUCAUAGUGGAUAGGUGGAUAUAAAAACCCCAAGAAGUUCAUUUCAGGCCAAAGGUGACCACUGCUUGCUUCCCUCACAUCUUUCUCUGCUGUGAACUCUACCAAAACCCCAAGAUGUGGGAGAUUGGGGGGGGGCAGGUAGGGAGGGUCCCUUUAGGCUCACUUUAGGAACUUUAGGUUCACUAGAAAGUAGUUCCUGGUAGGUCAGGAAAGCCUUACUUAGCAAGGGCUAAUGAAUUUAGGUCUCCAAAAUGUCAUAGAACAUCAGGGAUCUUUACUGCAACUUCUUUGUUCUUCUAAAUCCAGAGACAGCUCUGUCCCUUGAAGGACAAUGUUUAUUGAAGAGUCAACUCAGAGACCUUGUGCCCUUAGGCGUGGAAUACCUUAUCCUCUCCAAAGCACUUCCCUACAAGCACUAAAUUGGAGGAAAUUCCUUCCAGAGCUCAAGCCCAGAAGGCUGACAAUACUGUUAAUGGUAGUAUAUUGACAAAGAAAAGUUUAGGAGAUGGAAUGUGGGGGUCCAGGAUCCUCCCUGAAGGGCCCUCUGGAGUAGGGCCCCAGUGAACUGAUGAUAAAUAGUGCCUCCUGCUGCAGGGCAUACAAACAGCUAAAGAUCUGACCCCCUCAUGCCUUUAUUUCCCUGUGGGAGUUGUGUACAAUUUGGAAAGUAGAUCAAGGGCAUCCUGGCUCCCAGCUGACCACCCCACUUGCAGCCUGGACGUCUAGAGGCCUGGAGACCCCCCACCAUAGGCCAGCAAGCAGAGGUCCCCAAGUUCACAGGGCUAGUUCCACUUCCCCUGGGUUUCUGCUCUCUGGGGGACUGCCCUUUCCAGAACUUUUCCUCUGUAGGCAGCUCUUUCCAAGGCUCUCAAGACUCCAAACCAAAUUGUUUGGGGAGUGAAAAAGUGAAAGGACACAUCUUAGAGCAGCAGGGACCAGCUGCUGGGUCAACUCUCCCCAAAACAGAACUUCCUGGGAGUGCCUGGAGCAUUGUCUUUUAAAGCAAUUGUCUUUUAAAAAAUAACACACACAAAAAAUAUUUUCACUUGAAAGAAGGGGAGAGAGAAAAAGGAAAGAAAUUAAUUACUAAGGUUCUCCGUCUCCAAGGAAGUUCAGGGGGAAAUUUUAGGAACUUUGCGUCUGCUUUUUAUUGUAUUUACCCGGCCACCCUGCCAAGGGGAGGAUGAGAACUCUUUGCGCCUGGUGCACCAUUCAAAGCCCUGUGUGCUUAAUAGAGUGACACAAAUGUCUGUGUUUCUUUUUGCUUUUAACCAAAAGCUGUAGGGAGGGGCCAUCCUACAGUUGGAGAGGGCUCUGCCAGUUGGUUCCCGUCCCCCUCACCGAACUCGUUCCCAGCCGGGGCCAAACCAGCCCCGGCCGGAAGGGCCUACGGGCCGCAGCCUGGCGGCGGAGGGGCCGGGUACAGGGGUGGGGGUGGGGACGCGGACGCCGUUCCUACCGCCCGGCUUGAGGAGACUCGGAGCCGAGCGGGGCUAGCGUGGGCUCUGCCGAAUCACGCCGUGUGACUUCUUUUGCCAAAGGAAACUUUGGGAAGCAGGAGGUCGGCGAGUCCCUGCUUCCUCCCAUCCCCACCCCCACCCCGCCGCUCUCCCUCCUCCCACCCCUCUCCCUCCUCGGCCAAGGGACAGCUUUGGCCGAGGUCAGCUGGCUGCCUUUGUGGCUGCUUCCCAGGAAGGAAGAAGCGUUGUCUGCAGAUCAGUUUAUCAGCUGGCUUUCCUGUGCCGGAGCGCCGCCGUUUUCCGGGGACGGCUGCCACCCCCGUGAUUCCCAGCCUGGGCUGCGGGUGGUGCGUGAGAGCCAGAUAAAUAGGCCAUUGUGAGGCCGCUCAGAAUCCAGGUUUCUUAUCAAAUUAUCCAGCAGCGAGAAAGAAAUUCCGCCCCUGCUGCCUGUUAUCUCAGCUUCUCUUUUCACUCUGCAAUUACAGCCAUUUCAGGUCCCUCUCCCUCCCCCCUCCCCAAUUUUGAAGGGAAUAUUCAGAAAGCGAUUUAUUUGUGCAGCUUACAGUGUGAGCAGACUUCGGGGGCUUGUCUCCUAACAGUGCUUCCCCUAGGAUUUUGGUUUCCAAUCUUGAAUUUGGCCUCUUUGGCUUUGAUGUGUGAUGUUUCUACUUGACACUCCCACUCAGGAACAUCAGUCAACACGGACUGCAAAUAUCAGGGAGGAUGCCAGACUCGUUCUAGAUGAUUCGUUCUGACAAAAGGACAAGGCUUGGCUCAUCCUCAAAGAUUAUUCAGAUUAUGCACCUUGCCAGUUUAUUUGUGUUUUGCCCCAGAGGGCAUCCUGCAAGCCCCCGGAAAAACUUAAGAGAUGUGAACAUCUUGCUCUUUCUGCACCCAAAGAGAGCCUCCUGAUCAGCUUCCAGGGAAGUCAGCACAGCCUUAGCCAUGCAGUGUGUUUCUGAAGAGUCAGUCCAGCUGUGUUAAACUGUACAAUGGUGCUUUAUGGGGCCAAGGCAGAUAGGACCGUGCAGAGUUGAUCAGCCUGGGAUGAACUGAGACAGGAGUGCCCCUGCUGUGAUAGAAGCAGCAUAUUCAGGGCACAUGUUAUGAGUCCAGAAGAGAAAGUUAAGUGUUGUGUGUGAAAACAGCUAUGGCUUCAAUGAUACAGGCAUUGCUUUCAUUACAUGAAUGCAAUUGCCCUAAAAAAUGGAAACAGAAAGAGGAUUUAGGACAGUGAAUCCACAAUGGGGCCUCAAAAUGGGGGUCCUAGGACCUUCAGAACUGACAGCCAUGAGGCUGCAGUAUUUUUCCUCAAGAAACAUUUAUGAUACAUGUGGGGAGGGAUGGUGGAACAGAGGCUGCUUCCUAAUCUCCAGUGAUGGUGCCCUGGGCUGGGGGUGGGAACAGAGGCCCCACCUGAGCAAGCAAAUAACAGAGGUCCUUCUUAGAACUCUUAGUAGGGAGAAGCUCUCUGUAGGUGACUUCAUGGUGUCAAUUCUGCAGGCCUUCUGAACCUACCCAGGCAUGCUAGUCCCACAGUGUUCAUGAGCAGAGGCUCUGGGGAACAAAAAGAGUGAGUUGGAUAGGAGACAGGAGACAAUCAUAGCAAGGCAGGUCUAACAAGUGAGUUUUGACAGUGAAAGGGGGAGAAAACCCAGUGAGCAGUGCCAAAUCCAACAAAAGUCUCCAUGUCCUCAUAGGUGAAGAUGAGAGGGGUGAGGACAACUGGACACAAUUUUGGUGGAGAGCUGGAAGGACCUUGUGUUGAUGAGAAGAUAUGACCUCCCUAUCAGGCUAUGGAGGGAUAAUAAGCAGGACCAAGGAAUACCAAGAGGUAGAAAAGAAGGAUAGGCACCGCAUGACAUUAGAGGUCAUGCCUGGGCCAUCCUGAGGCUUUGCAAGAGAGAAGGAUUUUGGAGAAUUGCAGUCCAGAGAGUUCCCUUGUGGGCUUUCAGCUCCUAGAUUAUGGUCUUGAAAGCUGAUGACAGGAGCCUAGAGAUGGGGCUAAGUACAUGGAAUGGAGGAGAAACCACAGGGAAUCCUAAGACACUGGGGACAUGUUGGGCAAUGAAAGAUGUGACUCACUGGUAAGGAGGUCUAACAAAAAGCAUGAUCUCCAAAAAUUUAGGGUAUUGCUAAGGUGGCACAGGGCAAUUAGUCCUCUCAAUUUUAAGGAAAACUGAGCCAUAAAUUAGAAUGCAAAUAAAGAUUUUAGAAACCUCUUCCCACUUCCCUUCAAUAUUGAUAUUUAAUGCAAGGAUUGCUCUGACCUCAACUAGACUGUCUACAGACCAAACCAGGCUGUCCCCAGAACUCUGAUUCCUUACCAGCAGCCUGGAUAUGUUAUCUAAAAGAGCAACCAGGAAAGAAGGACCCAUGAAAAUCUAGGCAGGAAGCACCUUCUUCAAUUUUCUAAAAUACAAGAUAAAAAGUGACAACAGCCCAGGGAGAUGAUGUGACAGUGGAAGGAGCAGGAAGAAACAAUAAUCUCUGGCACAAUUCUGGCCACAAUGCUAACCAGAAUUUUGAGAGAGUCUGGGACAAAUGAAGAAGAGAAGCUGGAUCACAAAUAGUAUUUUAUUGGGAAUCACAAUAAAUAGGAUCUUCCUAAACUCUUACUAACCUAGCUUGGGACAUUUGGAAAGUAAUUUAAUAUCUCGAGACUUGAUUUCUUCCUGCAUGUGAGAGUUGAAACAGGUGGUCCUUCAGGUCCCCUCUAAUCCUGGUAUUCUAUAAAUCUGGGUUUCUGGGUAGUUUACAGACUAGAACACUCUCCCGGAUUUUCCAGAGCGAAUACUGUACCUCUGAUAGGGCUUCAGCCAAUUCUGUGAUUUUUCCUAUUAUCCCAGAGAAUAUCUCCACCUAGAAAAUGCUGGGGAUGGAUCCUUUAUACUAGUAAAGAGAUUACACCAAUUAGUGCUAAGUUUCCCCAUAGCCCUGAGUUUACCAUGCAUUUUACUCUCAGUAUGGUCCAAGCCAUUCCUACCUCAUUAAUUUACCAAGAAAUACAUUCAGUUGGAAUGUGGUACUGUUGCAAAGCCAGAUGAGCCAACCAGUCAUGAAGGAGACCUAAACCCAUAUACCAAGCCCAGUAUCUCAAAGAAAGACCGUUGAGUUUUGCUUGGCUUUUCAGUCCAGCGAUCAGGUAAAAUGUGCUGGGUAGACUUUAACUAUUAUAUGACCCUAAUAAUUAUAGUGCUUUUACUUUGGAGCCCAGGGGAAAUGUCACAGGUGCUCCAGCCUGAGCUCUGGGCCACCUGGACCUCCCCUAAGUCAUGCCUGGACUCCUGUUCCAAAGCAGAACUGUUUUUACUCUAUUCCCAGCAGUGGACUCUGUACCAGGACUUUUGGGGUGCAUGUUAUCUCCACUGGGAACCCAGUAUUUGUUCAUUCAUGCUCUCUUGGAAUACUUACUGUGAUGAAGGCACUUUGUGGGUACAAUGAAAAUUACUCUUUUGGUGUUCCUAUAACAUUUGUUUAUUUGAUCCUCUAACUCAGGAGUCAGCAAACCACAGCUCCUGCCCCACAUCCAGCCCUCUGCUUGUUUAGAAUAGUUUUUACAUUUCAUGAGGUUGAAAAAUGAAGUAUAAUAUUUGUUAAAUGUGAACCUUUUACUCAAUCCAGACUUUAUUGUCUAUAAAUAAAGCUAUAGUAGAGCAAAACUAUGGUAGGCGGAAUCUAAAAUGACCCCCAGUGACAAUCCCUCUUGUAUAAUCUCCUCCCCUUGAUUGUGGGCAAACCCUGUGAAUAUAAUGAGAUUUCACUGCUGUGAUUAUGUUACAUUAUACGGUAGAAGGGAUUAUUGCAGGUAUAAUUAAGGUUACUAAUCAAUUGACUUUGGCUAGUCAAUGGGAAAGUUACUCAGGUGGGUCUAAGGUAAUCAUAUGAGCCCUUUAAAAGUAAAGGGUUCUCCCUGGCUGGGAGGAGAAGAGGAAGUUAGAGAGAUGUCCUUCCCCUGGGUUGGAAGAGAACAACCAUUCAUAUUAUGAAUGGCCUAUGAGAGACCUGAGAGAGACCUCUAAGAACUGAGAAUGGCUCCCACUGACAUGCAGCAAGGAGGCUGGUGUAUCGAUCCUACAACCCCAAAGAGCUGGAUUCUUCCAAACCGUGAGUAAGUUUGGAAGCAAAUUCUUACCCAGAGCCUGCAGAUGAGAGCUCUUCUGGCCAACACCUUCUUGUCAGGCUUGUCAGACCCUAAGUAGAGAAUUCUAGGCCAAUUAGACUUCUGACCUAUAGAACUAGAAUUAGUAAAUAAGUGUUGUUUUAAGACACUAAAUUUGUGGUCAUUUGCUAUGCAGUGAUAAAAUGAUAAUAAAAGAACUAUGCUUAUUCAUGUGCAUAUCAUUUCUGACUGCGUUUGCACUAUAUUAGCAGAGUUUAGCUCCAACAGAGACCACAUGGCCCACAAAACCUGAGAUAUUUACUAAUCUGACGCUGAAAAAGUAUAUCAACCUGUGUUAUAAUAAAAAAAUGUAAUCUCACAUGAGAUGUAUUUGGUCAGUUUUUUGUCUGACCCAAGGCUUUCAAGAAAUAGGGCUUACAUUUGGAACCACUCAGCAAACAUUCCUUUCAUUCAACUAAAUUAGGCCAAAAAACUAGUAGACACCAGGCUGUCCUGCAGACCCUCUCUCCCUUCCAUUCUUACAAGGCUGGGGAAGGAGACAGAGUGUCCAUGUAUUUAGAGAGAAAAAAAAAUUAGACAAAGGUGUUCUAUAUUGGAGAUUGUCAUUUUCUACAUUAUGAGUUUCUGUAAUGGUUGAAUUUAUGUAAUAAAUUUUUAUUAAAUUAGUAAUAAUUAUAACAUUAUUUUUAAAGGCUACACUGUGCUUCACUUUGUUGUUUCUUGAGGCAGUGGCCUGGAGAAGAUAAUGUAUGAAAACUCUUGCUUUGUGACUAGAAUUCAUUCCACUGCUUCUUGAUUUUUCUUCUCUUCAUGAUGUCCCUUUGACCUUAACAGUGGAAUAAGUCAGGACAAUCCAAUUUUUCAUUCACUAAUAUUGGUGAUCUAGGAGAGUAAUUUUCAACGAUUUUAGAAUUUGUGUCUUCUAACACACACACACACACACAAAUGAAAAGAUUUGUCAUUGUAUGUAUUUAGCUUUGAAUUGAGUUAAAACUCAUGUGAUUCUGAGGAUGGGGAGAAGCUGAAGAGGAUGUAUUCGUGUCCUAGGGUUGCUGUUACAAAUUACCACAAACUAGGAGGCUUAAAAACAGAAAUUUAUUCUUACAGUUUUGUAGGCCAGACACCUAAAAUCAAGGCGGCACUGAUUCUUCGACGGGAAGUCUCUCAGGGAAGGUUCUAAGGUUCUUCUAAGCAGUUUCUAAAGGAGAAUCCAUUCCAUGCCUUUCUCCUAGCUUCUGGUGGCUGCUGGCAACUCUGAAUUCCCUUGGCUUUUAGCUGAGUAACUCCAAUUUCUGCCUCUGUCUUCACACGGCCUUGCCCUCUGUUUGUCUGUGUCUCAGAUCUCUCUCUGCCUUUAUCUUAUGAGGACACCUGUCACUGGAUUUAGGCCUACCCCAAAUCCGGGAUGAUCUCAUCUUGAGAUCCUUAACUUAAUUACAUCUGCAAAGACCCAUUUAUUUGCCAAAAAGGUCACAGCUGUGGCUAUGAGGGUUAGGACUUGGACAUUUUUUUUUUUUUGAAAGCCACAAUUCAACCCACUCUAGAGGUAUUUAAUAUGUUCUCAGAGCUUAUAGGGAAGACUCUCAAUCUCAUAAAUAGCAAUUGAAAUCAACAAAGAUGUCCUAUAUUGUAGUGAAAGUUAUUUUUUCCCUCAUAGAACUUUAUGGAUACUCAGCGUUUCCCUCUGUUAUCCUGUGAUUAUAGGUUGGACAAUUCCUCAGUGACGAGGCAUAUGAGAGAUGGCAAGCUUUCACAGUAUCUUAUAUGGGUACCCCUUUUUGUCUUUACCUUUUUACCCAUCUGGACAAAACCAAAGAAUCGUGCAACAUUAGAAGUGUCAAAAGUCAGAGUAGUUAUCCUCAAGUGUUAGAUCCAGAAUAGAACCCUGUGGAGCCUUUCUGUAAGUGGAAAAUUGUUGGUGUUCUCUAGCAGAAGAGGAUGGUUCUCUUUGGGAAUGAGUCCAUGCCCCUUAUUGUCCAUUUGGCCUUGGGAAAAUCUGAUGCUGUGAUCUGGUUUCUCUCUCUGUAAAGAAGGUAUAACAAUGCCUUGCUACCUUACCACGGUGUUGUGUGAAUUUGCUGACACCCAUAAAGCUCCCUGAAAAUGAAGAGGCUUACGUAAGUCCCUGGUAUUAUUCGCACAGCAAAUGUUUUCCCCUGAGAAUAAAGUCAUAAAUGGUACCAUUGUGCAGCCGGUGGAACGUGUUCAAAAGUUUCCGUUCACAACUAGUAGAUCAAGUUGUGGGUGGCUGUAUGGACUUUCUGUGCUCAUGCCAAGCUGCAUCCAAAACAGUCUGCACAAUGGGCUCUCCUGGAAUGAAAAGCUGUACUGUAAGAGAUGGCCAGAUCAUGGCAUCGCAUCACAUGGGACAGUCCUAUGUAGCCAGUGACUUCAUAUGCACCUUUUCUUUCUUGCACCUCUUCCAGCAGAAAGAAGUAAUAGCAGAGACAGUGGUAACAUGGCUGUCUAACACGGCAGCAAUUGAAAGUCAAUUCUCUUCUACCACAUUGAAAAACUUUACAAGGCUAAGGAUGUAUGAUUGUGAAGGAUUAUAAUUAUAACCUUUCUUUCUUUCUUUCUUUCUUUCUUUCUUUCUUUCUUUCUUUCUUUCUUUCUUUCUUUCUUUCUUUCUUUCUUUCUUCUCUCUCUCUCUCUUAAUUUUGGGGCCAGUAAAGUCAUGUUACAAACCAGAUUAAGUGUUCAGGUUAAGAACCUAUUCUCCUUAAAUACAGUUCAUUUUAGUGGGCAUAUGUGGGAACAGUGUGGACAGAAUGCCACUGGCUGACAUAGGAGAUAGGAGAGGAUCUUCUUUCUACCAUCAUGAGCCCUGGAAAUACUCUGAGACAUGAUACAGGAAAAUGCCUUCCCUCUUUUAAAAAGGUUUGGGAUUCUCUGUGCUCAGAUGUUACACCUGAGAAAAUGACAGAUACUUUAAUUAAAUGAGAGGAAGAUUAGCUACUGAAGAUAUUUUAAUUAUUUUUUAAAGGAAGUCAUGUUUAAUUAGAGAUAUUUGGGGAUUAUACUAAUAGGCUUACUUGUAUCAAGGUUACUCCCCUGAAUGGAGAAUAUUCUUACAUGAAAAAUCAAAGGAGGAAUCACAGAAUAAUGGAAUUUUUGAGCUGUGAGUAACCUACCUUGAUAUUAAACUAUUUGAUAACUUUUCAAAUGCCCUGGACAAACUGACAUUUUUUCCCUUUCUUUUCAAAGGCAACCAUGGGCAAAAAAUCUUGAUGUUAAUGGAAUUAGGUCAAUAAAAGUAAAAUCUUUUUAUUUUAAUGCAGAGGCUGUGGAGGAGUGCUGUGCAUGGGUACAUGGGAUUCCCUUGAGCCCCUCACUCCCAUACUCCAGACACAUUCUGUUUUCAGAUAAUCUUUGAUUCAUUCAUUCAGUGCCCAUUUGUUGAACACCCACCAUGUAUUCACCAGUGCUGGAAGUACAAAAAAAUAAUAGGCACGUUCACUGUCUUCAUGGAGCCCCUAACCCAGUAAAGAACAAAGUGACAAGUAUUGUGAUGGAAUAACUGAAAUAACUGAAAGGAAUUUCAUCAUUAUGUCUUGCUUCAGGCCUUAAUAUUCAAGGUCUUGGCACCUUCUAUUGACUUGACUUUUCUCCCUUGAAUUCCUUUUGCCAUACAUAUCAUGAGAACCAUGGCCCAUAUAGCGUCACAUGGUUCUCUUCUAGUUUAAGGGAGCUUCAGUCACCUCCUGGAGGAUGUGGAGUAGCACAGGUGCAGUGGUCAGGGGAAGGCUCUUGUUUCCAGGAAAACCACACAGCCAGCCUGGAGGACGUUGCAUGAAUAUUUCUAUGUGACUAGACCCAUCUUAGACACUUGAACUGUUGCCAGAGUUUUUUCAUCAGUGUACAGUCUGGAGACCCAGAGGCUGGGUAGUGCUGAUCAUUGUGACCAAGUUAAGAGGUUCUGAAGGAGCUAUAUGCCUGAACAAGGCCAAGCAUGCUUAUGAGCCUGAGAGACAUAACAAUUUCAGCACUGUGAUAUGCUGGCUUUUUGGUAGCUUCAAGGAAGCAGACACUAAUAUCUCUGAUAAACUCCCUGGACCUCUGACCACAGACUGCUUUCCCCUUUCAUGUUAGUCCAGUGACCAGGGGCCAGGCCAUCUGGGGAAAAGAAGGGAUGAGAUAGAGAGAUGAUUCAAGGAGAAGGCAGUACAUUCUCCACUCUGUUCCUAAGGCUUGGGGUAUUCCUUCAGCAGUUUCACAGCAGACUCUAUUAGUUACUUAUUCUAUAUCCAGUCCUCCACUUCUUUCAAGGUUUCUUAAGGGAAGCAAUAUGCCUAGUUAUUGCUUUGCUUUCCUACCCUGUCUCACUGCUGACAGAAGCUUAUGACAUAACCUGAGCCAUUGAGAUAUAAGCUGAAGUCAGGUUGGGACUUUUGAAAAAAGUUUUGUUUUCUUGCUAAAAAGGGACCCAUGUAUGUGGCACCAUUCUUCCUGUCCCCUCUUCAUUCUUCCUUGGACAUGGACAUGAUGUCAGGAGAGCAACAGCCAUUUUGUAGCCAAGAGGCAGUAAAGAUGAAGACAAAGCAAAGAUUCUAGGCAAAGUGGAAUAGGAAGAUCCAUGUAUGAAUGUAUAUAUUUUUUAAUUUUAAUUCCAGUUGUUUAACAGAGAAUUAUAUUAGUUUCAGACGUACAAUAUAGUGAUUCAACAAUUCCACAUAUCACCCUGUGCUAAAUAUGAGAAGUACAUUCCUUAAUAUCCAUCAUCUAUUUUACGCAUUCCACAACCCACCUCCCCUCUGGUAACGAUCAGUUUGUUCUCUAUAGUUAAGAGUCUGUUUCUUGAUUUGUCUCUCUCUUUUAUUCCCUUUGCUCAUUUGUUUUGUUUCUUAAAUUCCACAUGUGAGUGAAAUCAUAUGGUAUUUGUCUUUCUCUGACUGCCUUAUUUCACUUAGCAUUGUUCUAACUCCAUCCACAUUGUUGCAAAUGGCAAGAUUUCAUUUUUUUUUUUUGUGGCUGAAUAAGAAUCCAUUAUGUAUAUAUAUCACAUCUUCUUUAUCCAUUCAUCUAUAGAUGGACACUUGGGCUGCUUUUUUGUCUUAGCUAUUGUAGAUAAUGUUGUUAUAAACAUCAGAGUGCAUGAAAUAGUGAUUUUGUAUUCCUUGGGUAAAUACCCAUUAGUGAAAUUGCUGGAUCAUUGGGUAGUUCUGUUUUUAACUUUUUAAGGAAUCUCUAUACUAUUUUCCACAUUAGCUGCACCAGUUUGUAUUCCCACCAACAGUGCAUGAGGGAUUCUUUUUCUCCACAUCCUCAUCAACACCUGUUAUUUCUUGUGUUCUUGACUUUGGCCAUUCUGACAAGUAUGAGGUGAUAUCUCAUUGUAGUUUUGAUUUGAAUUCCCCUGACAGUGAUGUUGAGUAUCUUUUUAUUAUGUCUGUUGGCCAUCUGCAUUAUUUGUUUUUUAGGUGUUGAGUUGUAUCAAUUCUUUGUAUAUUUAUCUCUUUUGGAUACUAACCUUUUAUUGGAUAUGUGCUUUGCAAAUAUCUUCUCUCAUUCCAUAUAUUGCCUUUUAGUUUUAUUGAUUGUUUACUUUGCUGUGCAGAGGCUUUUUAUUUUGAUGUAGUCCCAACAGUUUAUUUUUAAUUUUGUUUUUCUUGCCUUAGGACCCUAUCUAGAAAAAAGUUGCUAUCACCCAUGUCAGAGAAGUUACUGCCUGUGUUGCCCGUUUUCUCCUCUAGGAUUUUUAUGGUUUCAUGUCUCACAUUUAGGUCUUUUUUUUUUUAAUUUUUUUUAAUGUUUAUUUAUUUUUGAGAGAGAGACAGAGUGUGAGCGGGGGAGGAGCAGAGAGAGAGGGAGACACAGAAUCGGAAGCAGGGUCCGGGCUCUGAGCUGUCAGCACAUAGCCUGACACGGGGCUCGAACUCACAGACCACGAGAUCAUGACCUGAGCUGAAGUCGGACGCUCAACUGACUGAGCCACCCAGGCGCCCCUCACAUUUAGGUCUUUAAUCCAUUUUGAUUUUAUUUUAGCCUGCAGUCUAAGAAAGUAGUCCAGUUUCAUUCAUUUGCAUGUAGCUGUCCAGUUUUCACAAUACCAUUUGUUUAAGAGACUACCUUUUCCCCAUUAGGUAUUCUUUCCCACUUUGUCAAAGAUUAAUUGACCAUAUAGUUGUGGGUUCCUUUCUGGAUUUUCUGUUCUAUUCCAAUGGUCUAUGUGUCUGUUUUUGUGCCAGUACCAUACUGUUUUGAUUAUGACAGCUUUGUAUUUUUUUGUUUUUGUUUUUUGUUUUGUGUUUGUUUCUUAGAGAGAGAGGGCACACGAGCAAGUGGACAAGCGGGGAAGAUGGUGAGAGAGAGAAUCUUAAGCCAACUCCAUGCUUAGUUUGAAGCUUGACACAGGGCUCUAUCCCAAAACCCUAGGAUCACAAUCUGAGCUGAAGCCAAGAGUCAGAUGCUCAACUUAGUGAGCCAUGCAGCCUCCCCUGAUUAUGACAGCUUUGUUAUAGAACUUGAAGUGAUGCUUCCAGCUUUGUUUUUCUUUUUCAAGGUUGCUUUGGCUAGUUGGGGUCUUUCAUGGAACCGUACAAAUUUUAGGAUUUUUUGUUCUAGCUCUGUGAAAAAUGCUGUUGGUAUUUUCACAGGGAUUGCAUUAAAUGCAUGGAUGGCUUUGGGUAGUAUAGACAUUUCAAUAUAUGUUUCUCCAAUCCAUAAACGUGGAAUGUCUUUCCAUUUCCUUGUGUCAUCUUCAGUUUCUUUCAUCAGUGUUUUAUAGUUUUCAGAGUAUAGAUCUUUUACCUCUUUGGUUAGGUUUAUUCCUAGGUAUCUUACUAUUUUUUUGGUAUAAUUGUAAAUGGGAUAAAUUACUUAAUUUCUCUUUCUGGUACUUCAUUAUUGGUGUAUAGAAAUGCAGAUUCCUGUAUGUUGGUUUUGUAUCCUGUGACUUUACUGAAUCCCUGUUAUCAAUUCUAGCAAUUUUUUGGUGGAGUCUCUCUGAUUUUCUAUAUAUAGUAUCAUAUCACCUGCAAAUAGUGAAAGCUUUACUUCUUUCUUGCCGAUUUGGACGUCUUUUAUUUCUUUUUGUUGUCUGAUUGCUGUGGCUAAGACUUAAAGGACUAUGUUGAAUAAAAGUGGUGAGAGUGGACAUCCCUAUCUUUUUCCUGACUUUUGGAGAAAAGCUUUCAGUUUUUCCCCAUUGAGGAUGAUGUUAGCUGUGGGUUUUUCAUAUAUGGGCUUUAUUAUAUUGGGUAUGUUUCCCCUAAACCUAUCCAGUUGAGGGUUUUUAUCAUGAAUGGGUGUUGUACUUUGUCAAAUGCUUUUUCUGUAUCUAUUGAAAUGAUCAUAGGGUUCUUAUCCUUUGUUUUAUUGAUGUGAUGUAUCAUGUUGAUUGAUUUGCAAAUACUGAACCACACUUGCAACCCAGGAAUAAAUUCCACUUGAUGACGAUGAAUGAUUUUUUUAAAUGUAUUGUUGGAUUUGGUUUGCUAGUGUUUUGUUGAGAUUUUUGCAUCUAUGUUCAUCAGAAAUACUGGCCUGUAGUUCUCUUUUUUAUGGUGUCUUUAUCUGGUUUUGGUAACAGGGUAAUUCUGGCCUCAUAGAAUGAGUUUGGAAAUUUUUCUUCCUUUUUUGUUUUAUGGAAUGGCUUGAAAAGAAUAGGUACUAACUUUUAAAUGUUUGGUAGAAUUCACCUGUGAAGCCAUCUGCUCCUGGACUUUUGUUUUUUGGGAUUUCUUUGAUUGCUGAUUCAAUUUCAUUGCUGGUUAUCAGUCUGUUCAAAUUUUGUUUCUUCUUGUUUCAGUUUUGGGAGUUUAUAUGUUUCUAGGAAUUUAUCCAUUUCUUCCAGGUUGUCCAAUUUGUUCACAAAUAGUUUUUCAUAAUAUUCUCGUAUAAUUCUUUGUAUUUCUUUGCUGUUAGUUGUUAUUUCUCCUUUCUCAUUUGUGGUUUUACUUGAGGAUACAUUCAUUUAAUUAUUCAACUAAUAUUUACUGAGUGUCCACUAUGUGCUAAGAACUGUUUUAGUUUGUUAGAGAUAUAGAAGUGAGCAAAAUAUACAUUUUUUUUUCUCCUUGAGGUUUGCAUUUUAGUGGUGACAGGAGAGAAAGAUAAUAUAUACUGUAUAAUAAGUGAAAGAUAUAGUAUGUCACAUAGUGAAAAGUACUCUAGAGAAAAGAACAGCAGACAUACAUGUGGUGCGGCCCCAAAUGCUAAUGUAAGGACUUUGAUACUCCUCUGAGCAAAUCAUUGGAGGGUUGUGCAUAGAGAUAAUGAUGUGAUCUGACUUAAAUUUUAACAAGAUCACACUGGCUGUUAGGUUGAGGAUAGAUUAAAAGAAGAAAGAUAAAGCUAAGUCCCCUAAUGGCAUCUGUGAACAGCUAAGCCAACACUAGUAAUCACUUGCUUCCAGAAAUCUUAUCUGUGGAAAAUAACUCAUUAUUUUUUCACACUACUCCUAGUCACAUAUUCCAUCACUUACAGCCAUGCUCAUUUCUAACUGAUAUAGCUAGUUACCAUGAUUUGUUGCAUAUCUACUGUGUGCCGAGUGUUCUGUUAGUCCUGGAGAGACAAAUACGAACAUACAUGUAGUUGUCAUUAUCAAAAAGCCUUUCCAGGGACUUACAAUCCAAUUCUGGGGGAACCAACAGGCAAACCAUUACACAGCAAUACGGCAAUUGCUUUAGCAAUGUUUGUGUGGAGAAUGCGGUGAGCAUAAGGUAGACGGGAGAGCACCUAGCCAAGUGAAGGAGGCAGGGAAGUCUUUAUGAAAGCUCAGCAGGUGAUUAUCAGGUGAACAAUCCAGUGAAGGGCAUUCCAGCCAGAGGAACUAACUGCAUGUGCAAUAUAAAACAUGGAGUGUUCAGGACCUAUAAAUAGAUGAGUAUUCUUAGGAGAGUAGAGUUUGGGAGGUGGGGAGAAGAUGGUAAGAAGUAAUGGGAGGUUAGGCUGGAGGUGGAUGGGAAUGGUGAUGGAGGAUUUUGUAUGAGUCAAAGAAGAAUAUGAUUUAUCCUUUAGCCUACAGGGAGGCAGUGGAGUCAUCACUCUGGCAGUAGGAUUAACAAGUACUUGUAAGGGAGUGAGACUGGAGAAAAGACAGGAAUCCAGGAAACAGGCAGUACAACCAGAGCCAAGGCAGACCUGGGAUGGGGAGGAAGGGAUGCAGAGCUGGUAGUUUGUAUGGGGUGAGAGACAAGGAGACGAUCCAGGAUGACCGACACACUGCAUAUACCUCUGCAUGAAUAGCCAGAUAGUAUUUUUGGCAUAGAGAUCACACCAGAAGACACUGAACAGUCUUUUUUUUUUCAUGGACUAUAUUAAAGUAUGACUGGUUUUGACAUAAGCUCCUGGAGAUUGUGUCUGCUUAGUUAAUACCAGGCAAUUCCACUCAGCUAGCUUUGUGGAAGCUAGAGGGUAGCACUAAUACCUUGUCCAGGCUGUUUGCCUUCUUCCAUGUGGCUGUGUGUUCAGUCCACCAUUUGAAUGUAUUUUAUAUUCUCAUCAUCACUGCAUGAUGGGUAAUAAUACUAACAAUGGCCAUAGUUAGGAAUUAAUAUAUGAAAGACAUGUUACAUAUACUCUUUUAAAUUUUGUAAUAGCAAUGCAAAGAAAAUAUAAUUAACUUGAGGCCUAGAGAGGUCAAAUGACUGCCCUAAAGCCACAUACCUGGUGAGGCAGAAUGUGAUUUGUACUCUGGACCACCUGACAAAGACUGCUGUUUCUGCUGUGUUGCAAGGUUACCUACCUUAUUAUAACCCAUUGUCCACUUAUGAUUCAGGACUCUACAUUUUGUCCACAAUCGCAGAGAAGAAAAAAGAGUAUGACAUUUACAAAAUACUUUCAUAUACAUUAAAGACAAAUUCUUCCAAGCAUGUUUUGCCUCAUUUCCAUGAAGGGAUUUGAGUCUCUCAGGGUUCCAAAAUUUCCAAAGGACUAAAAAGCAUAUAGUGACAAAACAAAUUUAAGUACCAAAUUACUAACUGAUAAACCGUAAUUUAUAAUACAAGACAAUCCAGUUAAUAAAAAUCACACAGUUCCUUCACAGAGAAUGGAUUCAGGAAGGAAUGCUUCAAUUCCUUAACCACAGAGAAGAAUAGAGCAUUCUAGAACCUAAAUGUGAGCAAGACAUAGGAAUGAUUAUUCCAAAAUCUACCCAUGAGCACUUAAUUCAGUGGUGGUACACCAUCACUUGGUAAUUAAUUUUCUAAGCAUCUACUGUAUUUGGAGUGCUGCUCUUGGUGCUGUGAAGAUGAGAAGGAUGGAGACACAAGAAGAAACAAAGUCAUGGGUCUCAUUUCUCUAGGUCUUUCAAGAAAGUAAAAGAUAUACUUUUUUUUCUGAAAGAUUAAAGCAACAAAAGGUAUCCCAAUGGCAUUACUCAGGACCACAGAGUUCAAUAGCUGUACCUAAGAGAUCACCUGAUCUAAACUUUGAAGUUCACAGAUAAUGAGAUUAAUCCCAAAAAAGUUUGUCACUUGCCUGAGGUCACAAAGAUACCUGGUGUGAAAACUUCCUCUCCCAUGAAUCUCUUUUUUGCUGUAACUUUAUUCAAAAAUUGAUUUUCAAGUAUAUAGCACAUUCACCUGAAAGGGGAAAAUAUUUCCCUUCUAUUUAAUUCUGGAAAACCAUAAAAACAAAGCAAAGAAAUGCCAGUCUCUCAUUUGGAAGGGGCCUGAUCAUAGUGGGUUAUUACUGUGUGCCAGUAAUAACUGCACUGCAGCUUUUAAAAUAUAAUAGCAAAAUAUAGGAAACAACCUCAAUUUCUAUCAUUAGAGAACUGAAUACAUUGGAAUCUAUCCACACAAUGGAAUAUGAUACAACCAUUAACAAAUAAGCAGAUUUAUAUGUAAUUGAUAUAGACAUAAUUUAAGUGAGAAAAUCAAGAUGUAGAUCAAUGUUAUAUAUUCCUUUAACCAGUUUUUUUUACAUAGUCUUGAGUCGUGAAUUAAGAUAAAUUUUUUUUUCCAGUAAUGGCUAUAGUAGGUAUUGUCAUUUGCAUUGCUCCAAAACUAUUAAACAUUUUUUCACAUUUUUAAAAGUUUAUUCAUUUUGAGAGAGAGAGAGAGAGAGAGAGUGAGCAGGGGGAGGGGCAGAGAGAGAGGGAGAGAAUCCCAAGCAGGCCCUAUGCUAUCAGCUCAGAACCUGACUUGGAGCUCAGUCCCAUAAACCAUAAGACCAUGACUUGAGUUGAAAUCAACAUUUGGGUGCUUGACUGACUGAGCAACCCAGAUGUGCCUUUUUUCACAUUUUAAUACUUUCCCACAAUUUAAAUCCGUUUUACAUGUAGAAUAAUAAAUGAUACUACAUUGCCAUUUCCCAUAUUCCAAGUGUGAGGACAUAAUUUAGUUUCCAUAAAAAAGAUACAUUUACAAAAGACUUUGAUUUAGAACUUUUGUUUAAAAAGGCAGGACAUGGGGAGUCUGGGUGGUUCUGUUGGUUAAGCAUCUGACUCCUGAUUUUGGCUCAGGUCAUGAUCUCAUGAUCAGGAGAUUGAGCCCCACGUUGGGCUUUACACUGGGUGUGGAGUCUGCUUAAGAUUUUCUCUCUCCCUUUGCCCCUCCCUCUCUCUUUCUCU